rnacentral:rRNA from 1 species
UCAAUGAUUUAUAAAUAGCCGCAAAUAGUGCUAAGGUAGCAUAAUCAAUCGCCUUUUAAUUUUAGGAUAGUAUGAAAGACUAUACAUUUAAAUAUAUUUAUUAAUUAUAUUAAUUUAAAUUUGAAUAAAUAUAAAAAUAUAUUUAUACAUUAAAUAGACGAUAAGACCCUAUUGAACUUUACUUCAGUUCAGUUGGGGAAACAAAUUAAUAAAAAUUUUAAUUAUAAAUUUACAAAAAAAAUCUAUUUAAAAUAAUUUCUUAAAAGCUACCAUAGGGAUAACAGCGCAAUAAUUUUCUAAAGAUCUUAUUUAAAAAAUUAAUUACGACCUCGAUGUUGAAUUAUAUAUUCUAUUAUGAGAAAAAUCAUAAAAGAAAGUCGUCGA